AGUCUAGUGAAAUACAGUAUGUCAUAAGCUUUCAAUUUAUUUUGCAUUAAAAAACCAAAGGUAGCAUUUUUGAUAAGCAAAGUAAUUUGUUUUGGUUUUUAAACUGCUUUGAAGUUUGAGAACUCAUCUUAAAACUGGAUCUCUUACCUAUUGUUUCUUAGUCACAGAUUAAGCCUAGUCCUGGACUGAAACUCAAACUCUGUGGAAAAUCUUCAUGGGAAUUUAAUUUUACUCCUGGAUUUGGCUAAAUCCUUUAGAUUUCUAUAAGGUUAAAAAAAAAAAAUCCUAACAGAUAAAAUACAUACUUUUGUAUUUAUAUUAAUUAUAAUAACAUAAAAAAUGAAAAACUGCACUGUGAAAUCAUUAUUUAACCAUGAUAAUCAUGUAAUCUCCCUGUCUGAUGUGCGUUUACCUUAGUUUUCAUUAAAUUUCUUGCAUUUCUCAGUAUAGUUGAGAAUUAGUACUUUUCUAACAUUUGGAUUCAAGCUUAAGUCUGGCUUCAUUAAAUAAGGAAAUUCCCUGGUAGGACUGAGCCAACCCUGUUACAUCUUUUACUGGAUGAAUGUUGGAAUCUGAGCAAGAGAUCAAAGAACUUUUAGAGCUCUGAGAGGAAAUGACAUCAUACUUGUAAUCCCAUAGGGGACCAGUUAGGAGGGGGAGAGGGAGGUGUAGUUUAUAAGUAGUGUCACAAAGUAUAGUGUAACAUGGCACUGGCCUGGGCCUUUGACUGGACUAGCUCACAGAUAUUGAGCGACUGAGAGGCUUUUAGACAGUUCUAGCUGCUUCGCCGAGACACAGGUCAUGGUGGGCUCAGAGCAGGAACGCUUUCUUCUCUACGGUACUCUAUCACCGGUCUAAAGACAUGUUCAAAUGGGAUUCUAGCUCUCGUAAGUCCCUUUUGGACAUCCAUAUUUUCCUGCCUGUCCCGGGAGGAGUUCUGAGAUCAUGCGGCCAGGUUGCCGGGCGGUGUGGUUUCUUUGGAAACGAAGAUGACAUGUGUCACCUGUGGGGAGCCUAAUAUGUGAGAGUUGUCUAUUGUCUGACAGGUUAAGCCGUCAUAAUUGAUAGCUCCUGCUUAGAAGUUUCAACACCAAACAGUGUUGCCAUUUCAGGGUAAUUAGCUGGAGGGAUGUUCGACGGUGGGGACGUAACUCCUGGGCAGACUCAUCCCUUGUGGUUUUCUGACUGAGAAGCAGCCAUGCAUUCAGACAGAACCGCGUACCAUAUAGUCACGCACCUAUCAUUCACACCCGGUGUGUACAUUAUCUCCCCUCGACAAACAAGUACAUUAUCUCCCCUCGACAAACAAGUACAUUAUCUCCCCUCGACAAAUAGGUACAUUCUCUGCCGUCAACAAACAAGUCUCUAGUUCACUCAAAUUAAGCAAUUCUUCUGGUAUUGCUGUAACACACAGGAGUGGAUCACAAAUCCUCACGCACUAACGCACACACACACACGCACAAACACACACACGCACAAACACACAUGCACAAACACACACACACACACACGCACACACUGUUGAAUCGCCCAGAUUUCCCAUGAAUCAUUUUUAUUCUUUAGCUCGUGCGGAUGAGUGGGCCAACACUGUAUCUCAAACACCAGUCACAAGCAAGCCGGCUACUGGCUUUCGGGCGUCUGCCUGGUUGAGUCACAUGACCUGUGUUUAUUUGCUCCGUCCUCAAAUGUCCACAGGAAGGGAAGACGAGAGGGGCCGGCCGGCGCUGACUUUGAACGUCGGACGUCUUCUCAAAAGGACUCAAGAUCAGGUGGACAGCACUUCCUCCUCUUUUCUGACACACCCAUUGUUGAGGGCCGAGGACAAAUGAGGUAAUACAAGCAGACACAUAGUCACUUAAAACAGUAGGGGCUGGCCGGUGGCAUGCUACAAGCCUUUCCCAUGAAGACUCUCUUUUGCAUCUGAGUGUGUUUGCUUCAAAGGUCCUGACCCUCAGAGAGAUAGUGCUUUAGGUUUACCCACUUUAAAGCAAACGCUGCAAUUCUCUCUGACAUUCAUAAACAGAGCUAUGGACGGCAAGAUCCGACCGGCCGUGAUGUCAGAAUAAUAGUCUAAAGCGAUGUUUCCCAAGCCGCCGCAGCAGCCUCUCCUGGGGCCUCCACAGCUGUUCCAUGUAUUAGAUGUAACCCAGAGCUAGCACACCUGAAUCACCUAGUUAACUAAUUAUCAAGCCCUUGGCUGCUUGAUUCAGGUGAGCCAGAUCAGGGCUACAUCUAAUACAUGGAGGUUUGAGAACCGCUGGUAUGAAGUAAACUUGGUUUUGCGUGUUUGUUUAAAUUAACUUUCUUUACAAACAUCAGUGUAAGACGAGCUGAUCCGUUUCUAAUGGACUACAUGGGUUAAACUGAAGUCAUAUACCUUAUUUUCUUAAAACAUCAGCGCAUAAACAUCGCUAAUCGGUAGGUCGAGAAAUGAAUGCAGGAACUCGAGAUUGCCACUUUAAACAUCCUACUAACUCUUAACGUGACCCUACUAUGUCAACUGAGAGCAGGGAACCUUCGUUGGGAACCUUCCCUCAGGGUUCAUAAGGUCCCUGUGGUUCCAUGUUCUGCCUGCAUUCUCACCCCCCGGCGCCUCCGUUCUGAGCCCGCCAAGAGGGAGUCCCAUAGACGCUAUGUCUCGCAGUGGAGGUGUGAUGUGUGCUGUAAUGCGUGUCUGACGUGGUAGAGUUGAAUGCACCCCUGCCAGAGGGUGUGGAGAAAUACUGAUAAUUGUAGAUGUCACAACAAGUUUCCUUCCAGGCUGUACAUAAAGGCACUGUGUAAUUGAUAUGAGGGCAAAUUUAACAUAACUUGUCACAGUUGUUGUUUCACAAGCUAGUGGGUUGUCUUACAUUUAUUAUUUAGCUAUUCGUCAUCUUCAGGCAUCCAUUUUAAUGUACUUACAUGAUAAAUUAUGUUGGUCUACGUGUUCGAUGCCAACGUGUAGGCGUGCGCGUGCGUUUGUGUGUGUGGGUCGGUUUGUGUGUGUGUGUGUGUGUGUGUGUGUGUGUGCGGGCAUGCAGAUUGAUGUGUGCCUGUACUCAUAACUGACUGCAAAGUUAUGCUCAGUUGUGUGGGUUAUCAGUUAGAUAAGUCAGGCAGUCAAAAUGUCAGUCAUCCAGUUAGUCAGUCAGUCAGUCAGACGGCCAGUUAGCCAGUCAGUCGGUAAGUUAGUCAGUCAUCCAGCCAGUCAGUCCAGGUUGUAAGCUAGCCAGCCAAUCAGUCAGUCCAGGUUGUAAGCCAGCCAGCCAAUCAGUCAAACUGAAAGCUGCUGAUUCAACGCAUGAUGCGGAGGGUAAAACAUCAGACUGUUCAGACAGAAAGAAAGACAGAAAGAGAAAAGAGAAAGAGAGAAAGAGAGGGGUCUUUAUCAACUUCCUCAAUGACUCAAGCCCCUCACAGCCAUUCCUCUAAACAAUGGAUCAGUGCUUCAUCUCGGGUGUUUGCUCUGUCAGACAGCACAGCGAGGCUCAGACUUGUCCCAGUGAGGGCAGACCUCCAUUCAGCAGUAACUGUUUGCUCAGGGAUCACUUUACAUUGCUCAUUACUUGUCUGCAGGAGGCUACUGGACUCACCUCAGCAAACAAACAGUCCAACAACCUUUAAAUGGUGAGAAAAUGUUGAAAGCAUUGGUCUGAGUUGCAACCGUUUUCUACUGCUGUCGAGAAAAAGAGCUCAGAGUAUGAGUUAUGAAUACGGAUCUACAUACACAGAUGUGCAUGCGUGCGCAUACGCGCAAGCGUCCACGUGAAACACUAUUGCAAUCCGUGAUACGUUUUUUGUAAAUAUUUGUUGUAUUUCACCGGAUUUACAAAUUGUAAAAUUAGGAUCCACAGAUGACACUCGGUUUUCUCAUCUGGACUAGUCUCAGCACUGGCCACACCAGUUUACAUUUUCUAGUCCGGCUUAGCAGGAAUUACAUUUACAUUUUUAAAACAGUAACAUGCAAAGUGAGAGCCGCCUUUUAGAUCAAGACAGAUUAAAAUUCUGAUAGGGCUAGUACAGGUUCAGAUUGAACAUUCUGAUAGGCCCAUUACAGGUUCAGAUUGAACAUUCUGAUAGGCCUAUUACAGGUUCAGACUGAACAUUCUGAUAGGCCUAUUACAGGUUCAGACUGAACAUUCUGAUAGGCCUAUUACAGGUUCAGACUGAACAUUCUGAUAGGCCUAUUACAGGUUCAGACUGAACAUUCUGAUAGGCCUACUACAGGUUUUGACUGAACAUUCUGAUAGGCCAAUUACAAGUUCAGAAAGUUUGUACUGAACUAUAAUCAUGUGCACGUUUGAAGUACACAAAGCUACAGUAGAUUCUAUGAAUAUAAUGUAUGCAUUUUAAAUCGAUUCACAGGGUCUUUGGGUGAAGAGUUUCACCGGAACUCGUUAAACAAAAGCACAGAUCACAGACACUGCCUCUAAAUCGUACCAUCCACUUGUCUCAGCAGUCACAUGCGUCUCAAAUGGCAACACGGAGCCCUAUUGAGUGCACUAACUUUGACCAGUUAGGGGAUAGGUUGCCAUUUAGGAUACAGCCUCGAGUGUCUCUGGCAGCGUUGAAAGUGUGUGGGGGUGAGGUGUCGAGGACGGAGGAGAUACCGAGGCCUGUAAGAUGGAUGACGCUGCCACUUCCAAUCUCUUUUGUGUUGAUGUCCGUCACCAGGUGUCCAUGGGAACCCAACCACACGCACACACCCACACACACACACACACACACACAAACACACACACAUCUAUCGGCAUGUCCCUGCCAUUAACCACUCCCUAUCUGUCUUUCUGAGUAUUGUCCAAACAGCAAGCCAGCUCUCCUUGAGGACAGCAUCUUCUAAAACCUACUGUUAAAGUAACAUUUUCAUACAGCAGUAUAUGAUCGUUAGUGAAUCCCGCAAUCUCACAACUGUCUAAGUCCAACGUUGGAAAAUUUUAAGUGCAUUGGCCUAAAUCGUCCUUUAGGCCAAUUUGAA
ensembl:lncRNA